GGAGAGGUGGCUGAGUGGCUGAAAGCAGCAACCUGCUAAGUUGUUAGGGGUUAACGCCCCUCGAGGGUUCGAAUCCCUCCCUCUCCG
rnacentral:tRNA from 1 species